GCCCUGUGGGCCUGGGAGCUGCCUCUGAGGAACACGCCGCAGGGCCAGGCAUGUGAGGUCUCUGCGGGUCAUGGAGAACCUCCCUGCCGUGACCACUGAGGAGCCGACCCCCAUGGGGAGGGGUCCUGUGGGACCCUCAGGAGGUGGCAGCACCCGGGACCAGGUCCGGACUGUGGUCAUGAGGCCCUCUGUGAGCUGGGAGAAAGCGGGGCCCGAGGAGGCCAAGGCGCCAGUGAGAGGCGGAGCCACUGUGCCCGCUGAGUCACUUGAGAGGCCAGGGCCCAGCUCGUGUUUUUCCAGGGACGCGUCAGUGAUAACAAAACUGGCAAAGAACGAGGCAGGGGCCUUUGAACCCCCAUGUUCAGAGACCGUUCCAGAAACAGUCCGAUGGGUUUGGCCUUGGAACCCCUGAGAGUCCUCAGGAUGAGGCAUCCUCGUUCUCCAGGAGGCACCCAAGGUGCAGAGAGGGAAGGGCCGGGCCAGGCCACCCUGUGGUCAGGGGCCGGGCCAGGACGUGUGCCCAGUUUCCUGAAUUCCCGGGAGACCUGAAGAGUGACCUAGGUGAUCUCCAGGAUCCCCUCUUACCCCCAUCCUGAGACCCUGAAGGGGACGAGGGGAGAGGCAGGGGAGACCAAGGCCUGCACGGCCCCUCCCGGCAGGAGACAGCUGCGGUUGUGACCCGUCCCUGGGCCUCGUCCUCCCAGUGUCCAGCCUCAGCCCAGUCUCCUCUUAGCUGCCUAUGUCCCUGUCUUGGGACUCCAGGGCUUGGCACAUGGUAGGUGCUUCGUCACUGUUCAAGGGAUUGAUGAAUGAAGGAUGUGUUUGGACA
rnacentral:lncRNA from 10 species